GGGGAAUAUUGCACAAUGGGCGCAAGCCUGAUGCAGCGACGCCGCGUGAGGGAUGACGGCCUUCGGGUUGUAAACCUCUUUCAGUGCCGACGAAGCGGAAGUGACGGUAGGUACAGAAGAAGCACCGGCCAACUACGUGCCAGCAGCCGCGGUAAUACGUAGGGUGCGAGCGUUGUCCGGAAUUACUGGGCGUAAAGAGCUCGUAGGCGGUUUGUCGCGUCGUCCGUGAAAACUCGCAGCUUAACUGUGGGCGUGCGGGCGAUACGGGCAGACUUGAGUACUGCAGGGGAGACUGGAAUUCCUGGUGUAGCGGUGAAAUGCGCAGAUAUCAGGAGGAACACCGGUGGCGAAGGCGGGUCUCUGGGCAGUAACUGACGCUGAGGAGCGAAAGCGUGGGGAGCGAAC
rnacentral:rRNA from 1 species